GAUGAAGAACGUAGCGAAAUGCGAUAAGUAAUGUGAAUUGCAGAAUUCAGUGAAUCAUCGAGUCUUUGAACGCUCAUUGCGCCCCCUGGUAUUCCGGGGGGCAUGCCUGUCCGAGCGUCAUUGCUGCCCUCAAGCACGGCUUGUGUGUUGGGCCCCCGUCCCCGGUUUCCCCCGGGGACGGGCCCGAAAGGCAGCGGCGGCACCGCGUCCGGUCCUCGAGCGUAUGGGGCUUUGUCACCCGCUCUGUAGGCCCGGCCGGCGCCAGCCGACACCCAACUUUAUUUCUAAGGUUGACCUCGGAUCAGGUAGGGAUACCCGCUGAACUUAAGCAUAUCAAUAAGCGGAGGA
rnacentral:misc_RNA from 1 species